rnacentral:misc_RNA from 1 species
GAUGAAGAACGUAGCAAAAUGCGAUACGUAAUGGGAAUUGCAGUGAAUCAUCGAAUCUUUGAACGCACAUUGCACCCAGUGGUAUUCCACUGGGUAUGCGGAGGUGAGCGCCUUUUCAGGUUGGGAUAUGUAGUAGACAUUACGACAUUCUUGCCAUCAAGGCAAUAAUAUUUGUCAAUUCUGCCUUACAGUCCUGAAAUUAGUUACAUGGUACAUACCAAAUUCAUACAUAGGGCCUCAUCGUCGUAGGAAGACCCGCUGAACUUAAGCAUAUCAAUAAGCGGAGGA